rnacentral:rRNA from 1 species
AGUGAACGCUGGCGGUAGGCCUAACACAUGCAAGUCGAACGGCAGCACAGUAAGAGCUUGCUCUUACGGGUGGCGAGUGGCGGACGGGUGAGGAAUACAUCGGAAUCUACUUUUUCGUGGGGGAUAACGUAGGGAAACUUACGCUAAUACCGCAUACGACCUACGGGUGAAAGCAGGGGAUCUUCGGACCUUGCGCGAUUCAAUGAGCCGAUGUCGGAUUAGCUAGUUGGCGGGGUAAAGGCCCACCAAGGCGACGAUCCGUAGCUGGUCUGAGAGGAUGAUCAGCCACACUGGAACUGAGACACGGUCCAGACUCCUACGGGAGGCAGCAGUGGGGAAUAUUGGACAAUGGGCGCAAGCCUGAUCCAGCCAUACCGCGUGGGUGAAGAAGGCCUUCGGGUUGUAAAGCCCUUUUGUUGGGGAGGAAAAGCAGCAGGUUAAUACCCCGCUGUUCUGACGGUACCCAAAGAAUAAGCACCGGCUAACUUCGUG